UUUCCGUAGGUGAACCUGCGGAAGGAUCAUUAAUGAGUUGUCAUGGGGUUCGAUGCUGGCAGCCAAUUUUUGGAUGCAUGUGCUUGCCCUAACAAUCAUCUUCCAAACACCUGUGCACAUCUUUGAGGAAGUCUUGAGUUGGUUGCCGCUCUUGGGUGAUUUUCUCACAUUCCCUUAAAUCAUUAUACGCUAUUAACAAUGUUGAACGUGCUCUGUGCCGCAAGGCUAUUAAUAUAAUACAACUUUUAACAACGGAUCUCUUGGCUCUC
rnacentral:misc_RNA from 1 species